AAACAUAGCCAUUAGAAUAUACUAUAUGGUUUAGCCUGCCCAGUGUUAUAACAAUAAAUGGCCGCGGUACCCUGACCGUGCUAAGGUAGCGUAAUAAUUUGACCUUUAAAUGGGGUCAGGUAUGAAUGGAAGAACCGGGUUCAGCUGUCUCUUAUACUAUUUUUUUGAAUUUACUAUCUAAGUGAAAAAGCUUAGUUUUUGAAGAGGGACGAGAAGACCCUUAGAAUUUUUUUAAAAGAUUAAUUGUUUGAUCUGCGAUUUUAUUGGGGCGAUAAAGAAAGAGUUUAAAACUUUCUUUUAAUACAAGCCGAUCAUGAUAAGCUAGAAUAAAUUACCUGAGGGAUAACAGCAUAAUUCUAUAAUUGGGUUUGUGACCUCGAUGUUGGACUAGGAAACCAGUGGGCUAGCCGUUCAUUGUGUUAGGUUCUGUUCGAACUUUGAUUCCU
rnacentral:rRNA from 1 species